GUCUACUUUUGUAGGGAAAAGGCUCCUCCUGCCACAACAGGUAACAUCAAUUUUGCUCUCCUUUUUCCAUACUUAUAAUUUGGUUUUAGGAAUUUGAUCUUGUUUUGUCGCUGCUAUUUGAUUAUUAUUAUGAAGGAUGGGUCUUUGUUCAUUGUUCUUGAGGAACAGCGUUUCCUUUCAAACUACGUCCAAUUGAUUAUGAAGGAUGGGUCUUUGUUCAUUGUUCUUAAACUCUGCUAGUAGGAAUAUCAUGGUUUCCUUUCAAAUUAUGUUUUCGAUCUUGUCAUUGGUUUUGGUUAAAUUUAUCAAAAUUUGUGACAUUGUUUUCCCAUUAGUAUGAAUGGAUGCAUAUAGUUGCUUGCUAUCUAGUUGAGAAUUGCUUUUGCUAUUUGAUUUUAUGCAUGAUUACAAUGGAUGCAUAAUAUGUGUGCAUGAGGGCUUUUGGAUGUCUGGACCUAGCUCUAGUGUGCAUAAGGUUUUCGAUGUCGCCGUGCUAGAAAAAAAAGUGGUGAGAUAAAUGGAAGGAUUGGGACUUGUGGGUACUCUUUGGCGGUACAACAGAGAUCACUAAACUUGAGGUGCUGUCCUUUGUUCACAUAUAAUUAAAAUUGAUUUUAAUGGUUGUCUACUUGUGUUGUUGUAGAUGUUUGAAGAUUUUAUGCGGGCAAUUCAGUUGGUGGGUAAGAAGAUCAGCAUAGGAAGUUGAGCAUGACUUGAAUCGAAGUAUUAUUGUUUGUUAAUGGUUCUUAGUUUAUAAUUUGAACCUCUUUCUAGAAUAUUUGUGUUAAGUAAUCUAAACUCAUCUAAAACUUUUGAUUAUUGACUAUAACAGUAGUGCUGCUUCUAUGUUUAAUAAUUUAGUUAUUAUCCUAAAUCCUAAUUUCUUGUACUCAGCUUUAGGUAAAGAGUGUAAAUUCUAUUUUGCUGUCUUGUCUCAAUGUUUAUGGCUUAUUUUCUCCCAACGGCUCUCGACAAAGCUUUUAUAUGCCAAUAAUUUAAUCGUUUGGUUGCUGUGGUUGCUACCAAUUCAUUUGCAAACUGCAGUGGUUAUCAGCCUUAAAUGAUAUAUCAUCCCAACAUAUAUAACUAGGUCAAUUGUUAUCUUUUUAAAAACCCAUCGUUAUUCUUCUCUUCCAACUAAACAAAAAAUACCAAUUGCCGUUUAAUUUUCAAUUUGAU
rnacentral:lncRNA from 1 species